UACGGAGGGUGCAAGCGUUGUCCGGAAUCACUGGGCGUAAAGGGCGCGUAGGCGGCGCGGGUAGUCAACGGUGAAAGCUUGGGGCUCAACCCCGAGUCGGCCGUCGAUACUCCCGUGCUUGAGCACUGUAGAGGCAGGUGGAAUUCCGGGUGUAGCGGUGGAAUGCGUAGAGAUCCGGAAGAACACCGGUGGCGAAGGCGGCCUGCUGGGCAGUAGCUGACGCUGAGGCGCGACAGCGUGGGGAGCAAACAGG
rnacentral:rRNA from 1 species